UUGGAGGGCAAGUCUGGUGCCAGCAGCCGCGGUAAUUCCAGCUCCAAUAGCGUAUAUUAAAGUUGUUGCAGUUAAAAAGCUCGUAGUUGAAUUUCGGGAUCAGCAAGUUGGUCGUGCCUCUGGUACGUACUGGCUUUACUGGUUCCUCCUUCUUGAAGAACUGUAAUGUCAUUAAUUUGGUGUUGCAGGGAAACAGGACUGUUACUUUGAAAAAAUUAGAGUGUUUAAAGCAAGCUAACGCUUGAAUACAUUAGCAUGGAAUAAUGAAAUAGGACGUUUGAUCCUAUUUUGUUGGUUUCUAGGACUGACGUAAUGAUUAAUAGGGAUAGUUGGGGGCAUUAGUAUUCAAUUGUCAGAGGUGAAAUUCUUGGAUUUAUUGAAGACUAACUACUGCGAAAGCAUUUGCCAAGGAUGUUUUCAUUAAUCAAGAACGAAAGUUAGGGGAUCGAAGACGAUCAGAUACCGUCGUAGUCUUAACCAUAAACUAUGCCGACUAGGGAUCGGAUGAUGUUAAUUUUUUAAUGACUCAUUCGGCGCCUUACGGGAAAC
rnacentral:rRNA from 1 species